CCUACGGGAGGCAGCAGUGAGGAAUAUUGGUCAAUGGACGCAAGUCUGAACCAGCCAUGCCGCGUGCAGGAAGACGGCUCUAUGAGUUGUAAACUGCUUUUGUACGAGGGUAAAUCCCAAUACGUGUAUCGGGUUGAAAGUAUCGUACCAAUAAGGAUCGGCUAACUCCGUGCCAGCAGCCGCGGUAAUACGGAGGAUUCAAGCGUUAUCCGGCUUUAUUGGGUGUAAAGGGUGCGUAGGCGGUUCGAUAAGUUAGAUGUGAAAUCCCGGGGCUCCACUCCGGCAUUGCCUCUGUUACGGUUGGGCUAGAGUGUAGUUGCGGUAGGCGGAAUGUAUGGUGUAGCGGUGAAAUGCAUAGAGAUCAUACAGAACCCCGAUUGCGAAGGCAGCUUACCAAACUACGACUGACGUUGAGGCACGAAAGCGUGGGGAGCAAACAGGAUUAGAUACCCUUGUAGUC
rnacentral:rRNA from 1 species